GGAGGUCAUUGCUAUUGGGGUCCGAUUUAGCCAUGCUAGUUGCACGAGUUCAUACUCGUGGCGAAAAGCUCAGUAACACGUGGCCAAACUACCCUACAGAGAACGAUAACCUCGGGAAACUGAGGCUAAUAGUUCAUACGGGAGUCAUGCUGGAAUGCCGACUCCCCGAAACGCUCAGGCGCUGUAGGAUGUGGCUGCGGCCGAUUAGGUAGACGGUGGGGUAACGGCCCACCGUGCCGAUAAUCGGUACGGGUUGUGAGAGCAAGAGCCCGGAGACGGAAUCUGAGACAAGAUUCCGGGCCCUACGGGGCGCAGCAGGCGCGAAACCUUUACACUGCACGCAAGUGCGAUAAGGGGACCCCAAGUGCGAGGGCAUAUAGUCCUCGCUUUUCUCGACUGUAAGGCGGUCGAGGAAUAAGAGCUGGGCAAGACCGAUACCAGCAGCCGCGGUAAUACCGGCAGCUCAAGUGAUGACCGAUAUUAUUGGGCCUAAAGCGUCCGUAGCCGGCCACGAAGGUUCAUCGGGAAAUCCGCCAGCUCAACUGGCGGGCGUCCGGUGAAAACCACGUGGCUUGGGACCGGAAGGCUCGAGGGGUACGUCCGGGGUAGGAGUGAAAUCCCGUAAUCCUGGACGGACCACCGAUGGCGAAAGCACCUCGAGAAGACGGAUCCGACGGUGAGGGACGAAAGCUAGGGUCUCGAACCGGAUUAGAUACCCGGGUAGUCCUAGCUGUAAACGAUGCUC
rnacentral:rRNA from 1 species